GAUGAAGGCUGGCGGCGUGCCUAAUACAUGCAAGUCGAGCGAACAGAUGAGGAGCUUGCUCCUCUGACGUUAGCGGCGGACGGGUGAGUAACACGUGGAUAACCUACCUAUAAGACUGGGAUAACUUCGGGAAACCGGAGCUAAUACCGGAUAAUAUAUUGAACCGCAUGGUUCAAUAGUGAAAGACGGUUUUGCUGUCACUUAUAGAUGGAUCCGCGCCGCAUUAGCUAGUUGGUAAGGUAACGGCUUACCAAGGCAACGAUGCGUAGCCGACCUGAGAGGGUGAUCGGCCACACUGGAACUGAGACACGGUCCAGACUCCUACGGGAGGCAGCAGUAGGGAAUCUUCCGCAAUGGGCGAAAGCCUGACGGAGCAACGCCGCGUGAGUGAUGAAGGUCUUCGGAUCGUAAAACUCUGUUAUUAGGGAAGAACAAAUGUGUAAGUAACUAUGCACGUCUUGACGGUACCUAAUCAGAAAGCCACGGCUAACUACGUG
rnacentral:rRNA from 1 species